rnacentral:rRNA from 1 species
GACGAACCGUACGAACGUUAUUCGGAAUCACUGGGCUUAAAGGGUGCGUAGGCUGCGCAGCAAGUUGGGUGUGAAAUCCCUCGGCUUAACCGAGGAACUGCGCCCAAAACUGCUGUGCUCGAGGGAGACAGAGGUGAGCGGAACUUAGGGUGGAGCGGUGAAAUGCGUUGAUAUCCUAAGGAACACCGGUGGCGAAAGCGGCUCACUGGGUCUCUUCUGACGCUGAGGUGCGAAAGCGUGGGGAGCAAACAGG